AGAGUUUGAUCAUGGCUCAGAACGAACGUUGGCGGCGUGGAUUAGGCAUGCAAGUCGAACGAAUCCCACCGGGGUAACUCGGUGGGGGAAGUGGCGAAAGGGGCAGUAAGGCGUGGGUAACCUACCCCGGGGACCGGGAUAGCCAUCCUAACGGGUGGGUAAUACCGGGCGAGGUAACGAGGUCGCAUGGCCUUGUUACGAAAGGAAUUUCGCCUCGGGAGGGGCUCACGUGGUAUUAGCUGGUUGGUGGGGUAACGGCCUACCAAGGCCAAGAUGCCUAGCGGGUGUGAGAGCACGACCCGCGCCACUGGCACUGCGACACUGGCCAGACUCCUACGGGAGGCUGCAGUCGAGGAUCUUCGGCAAUGGGCGCAAGCCUGACCGAGCGACGCCGCGUGCGCGAUGAAGGCCUUCGGGUUGUAAAGCGCUGUCGAGGGGGAGGAAAGCCGCAAGGCCUGACCUAUCCCUGGAGGAAGCACGGGCUAAGUUCGUGCCAGCAGCCGCGGUAAGACGAACCGUGCGAACGUUGUUCGGAAUCACUGGGCUUAAAGGGCGCGUAGGCGGACCACCCAGUCCGGGGUGAAAUCUUUCGGCUUAACCGGAAAAGGGCCUUGGAUACUGGUGGUCUCGAGGAAGGUAGGGGCAUGCGGAACUUCCGGUGGAGCGGUGAAAUGCGUUGAUAUCGGAAGGAACGCCGGUGGCGAAAGCGGCGUGCUGGACCUUUGCUGACGCUGAGGCGCGAAAGCCAGGGGAGCGAACGGGAUUAGAUACCCUAGUAGUCC
rnacentral:rRNA from 1 species